rnacentral:rRNA from 1 species
UGAGUACGAGAUGCUACGGCAUCGAAGCAGUCUAUGUCAUACUUCCAAGAAAAGCUUGCACUGUCAGAAACAGAUAAUGCCUGUACCAUAACCGACACAGGUGGGUAGGUAGAGUAUACUAAGGGGCGCGAGAUAACUCUCUCUAAGGAACUCGGCAAAAUGACUCCGUAACUUCGGGAGAAGGAGUGCCUUAUUUUUAAGGUUUCAAUAACAAGAUCCAAGCAACUGUUUACCAAAAACACAGGUCUCCGCUAAGUCGUAAGACGAUGUAUGGGGGCUGACGCCUGCCCAGUGCCAGAAGGUUAAAGAAGUCGGUUAGCAUUCGCGAAGCUGGUAACUGAAGCCCUGGUGAACGGCGGCCGUAACGAUAACGGUCCUAAGGUAGCGAAAUUCCUUGUCGGGUAAGUUCCGACCCGCACGAAAGGCGUAAUGAUUUGGAUACUGUCUCGGAGAGGGGCUCGGUGAAAUAGACUUGUCUGUGAAGAUGCGGACUACCUGCACCUGGACAGAAAGACCCUAUGAAGCUUUACUGUAACUUGAAAUUGAAAUUGGACUUUAUUUGCGCAGUAUAGGUGGGAGGCGUUGAAAAUAUUCUUGCGGGAAUAUUGGAGCCAUCAGUGAGAUACCACUCUUGUAAUGUUAGAUUUCUAACUUUAUAUCAUUAUCUGGUUAAAGAACAGUUUCAGGCGGGCAGUUUGACUGGGGCGGUCGCCUCCCAAAUGGUAACGGAGGCGCACAAAGGUUUCCUCUGAACGGGUAGAAAUCGUAUCUAGAGUGUAAAGGCAUAAGGAAGCUUGACUGUGAGACCUACAAGUCGAGCAGGGACGAAAGUCGGUCUUAGUGAUCUGACGGUGCUGAGUGGAAAGGCCGUCACUCAACGGAUAAAAGUUACUCUAGGAUAACAGGCUGAUCUCCCCCAAGAGUUCACAUCGACGGGGAGGUUUGGCACCUCGAUGUCGGCUCAUCGCAUCCUGGGGCGGUAGUACGUCCCAAGGGUUGGGCUGUUCGCCCAUGAUAGCGGUACGCGAGCUGGGUUCAGAACGUCGUGAGACAGUUCGGUCCAUAUCCGGUGUAGGCGUUAGAAUAUUGAGAGGAGCCUUCUUUAGUACGAGAGGACCGAGAAGGACAUACCUCUGGUGUACCAGUUAUCGUGCCAACGGUAAACGCUGGGUAGCUAUGUAUGGAGUGGAUAACCGCUGAAAGCAUCUAAGUGGGAAGCCCACCUCAAGAUAAG